rnacentral:lncRNA from 1 species
GAGCUUGUUUCAAAACAGGCCGGCUGAACACAUGGGAGUCACAGGGACCCGGCAGAGCCUGGAAGGCAUCAGGUGGGUGGGAAUGCUUUUCCCCCAGCAGGAGCCCUCAUGGGCUCCUGGCCCAGCCUGUCUGAGUCUGCCUUUGUCUGCUUCUUUGGGACCCCCUGACUCCAAGCCCCAUCAAGCUUGCAUCUCCACACCCAGCCCCAGUGUUAGCUAUCGACCCAGGCCUGUAUUUCUUUGUCCUUUAUUUUUAUUUUUAUUUUUAUUUUUUGAGACAGAGUCUUACUCCAUCACCCAGGCUGGAGUGCAGUGGCACAAUCUCGGCUCACUAGUGAUCCACCCGCCUUGGCCUCCCGAACUGCUGGGAUUACAGGCGUGAGCCACCACACCUGGCCUUCAUCCUUUAGGAGAUCAUGAGAGGCCACUCUGCCCUCCUCUGGGGCCACCCCUUCCUUCAUCCCUUCCUCCCGGCUGGACUCUUUACCACCCCAGGCACCACUGUCCUCCAGCCUGGGUGACAGAGCAAGACUCCGUCUCAAAAACAAACAAACAAACACUUUUUUUAAAAAAUAGAGUCUUGUUCUGCCGUCCAGGUUGGAGUGCGGUGGCAUGAUCUCAGCUCACUGCAACCUCCGCCUCCUGGGUUCAAGUGAUUCUCCUGUCUCAGCCUCCCGAGUAGCUGGGACUACAGGUGUGUGCCACCGCCCCGGCUAAUAUACAUAUAUACAUAUUUUUUUGUAUUUUUAGUAGAGACAGGGUUUCACCAUGUUA